rnacentral:rRNA from 1 species
UACAUGGGGUGCAAACGUUGCUCGGAAUUAUUGGGCGUAAAGCGUGUGUAGGCGGCUCGCUAAGUCUGAUGUGAAAUCCCUGGGCUUAACCCAGGAACUGCAUCGGAAACUAGCGGGCUUGAGUUCGGGAGAGGGUGGUGGAAUUCCUGGCGUAGAGGUGAAAUUCGUAGAUAUCAGGAGGAACACCGGUGGCGAAGGCGGCCACCUGGACCGAUACUGACGCUGAGACACGAAAGCGUGGGGAGCAAACGGG